UAGAGGAUGUUUCGGGUGCGGCGCGGGUCUAAGUCCUUUGGAACAGGGCGUCAUAGAGGGUGAGAAUCCCGUAUGUGACCCGUGAUCAAGCCCUUGUGAAACCCCUUCGACGAGUCGAGUUGUUUGGGAAUGCAGCUCAAAAUGGGUGGUAAAUUUCAUCUAAAGCUAAAUACCGGCCAGAGACCGAUAGCGCACAAGUAGAGUGAUCGAAAGAUGAAAAGCACUUUGGAAAGAGAGUCAAAAAGUACGUGAAAUUGUUGAAAGGGAAGCGCUUGCAACCAGACCUGUCCGCAGGCGAUCAACUCCCGUUCUCGGGGGUGCACUCGUCUGUGAUCAGGCCAGCAUCGGUUCGGGCGGUCGGAUAAAGGCCUUGGGAAUGUAGCUCCUUCCGGGGAGUGUUAUAGCCCUCGGUGCAAUGCGGCCAGCCCGGACCGAGGACCGCGCCUUCGGGCUAGGAUGCUGGCGUAAUGGUUGUAAGCGACCCGUCUUGAAACACGGACCAAGGAGUCUAACAUCUAUGCGAGUGUUUGGGUGUCAAACCCAUACGCGUAAUGAAAGUGAACGGAGGUGAGAACCCUUAAGGGCGCAUCAUCGACCGAUCCAGAUGUCUUCGGAUGGAUUUGAGUAUGAGCAUAGCUGUUGGGACCCGAAAGAUGGUGAACUAUGCCUGAAUAGGGUGAAGCCAGGGGAAACCCUGGUGGAGGCUCGCAGCGGUUCUGACGUGCAAAUCGAUCGUCAAAUUUGGGUAUAGGGGCGAAAGACUAAUCGAACCAUC
rnacentral:rRNA from 1 species